UAAUCAAGAAGCGAACGUGUAUAGAUACAUUGAUAUAUAGAAAUUCAUGUUACAUUUGAGGGAAUUUUGAACAAAAAAAAGUUUGCUCUGUGCAAGAAGAAGUCUUAAUAUGCCCGCUGACGCAAUUUACAAAUGUAUUUCUGCCCGGCGAGUAAACUUUUCAAGUCUGGAUACUAAUAGAAUUCCCACUGUGCCAAAUCUGGAGAAUACGUUGGAUUCGUCUCGUAAAGUCGACUAUUUCGACUUUUCUUGGCCUUUGGAGGAUAUCAGUGGAUGGGUGUUUCGUCGACGGUUAAGGAGCACACAAACUGCCUGGCAAUAAAGACACCCUAGCGCAGCUAUCAAUAGAAUGUUAACCCGUCGCAGCUCCACUUUUUUCGCGCAUCCUACUGCUGAAUAAUUGGGCUUCGCGGAAGCUUGGUCAGCGUUGAACUGCCAUUAGUUUUUAAGCUGUCGCAAGUUCCAUUUGACCCAAAAUGAAUCGCAAGAUGUCUAGUGAGCCCAACGCCUUCAUUAAGGUUAGCUUUCCCCAGUUGUAGAGGUUCUAACUAGUGACAGCCCUAUCGGUGUCCACAAGAUGGGGUUGAUAAACACAGGAGGCCAACUGUAGAAGCUGUUUAUCUUUGCAGGAUUAAGGCGUAAAUUCCAGGAUGUUAACACUUUCAGGUAUCCAGCACACUCGAAUGGGAAUAGAAAUAAAACGUUUAAACAGAUUUGUAUUGGUCUCAAGACACUUUGUGGACUCUCAUAACAAAGAUAAUCAAAAAUAUUUUUGGAAAUUAGAAAA